AGUGAACGCUGGCGGUAGGCCUAACACAUGCAAGUCGAACGGCAGCACAGGAGAGCUUGCUCUCUGGGUGGCGAGUGGCGGACGGGUGAGGAAUACAUCGGAAUCUACUCUUUCGUGGGGGAUAACGUAGGGAAACUUACGCUAAUACCGCAUGCGACCUUCGGGUGAAAGCAGGGGACCUUCGGGCCUUGCGCGAUUGAAUGAGCCGAUGUCGGAUUAGCUAGUUGGCGGGGUAAAGGCCCACCAAGGCGACGAUCCGUAGCUGGUCUGAGAGGAUGAGCAGCCACACUGGAACUGAGACACGGUCCAGACUCCUACGGGAGGCAGCAGUGGGGAAUAUUGGGCAAUGGGCGCAAGCCUGAUCCAGCCAUACCGCGUGGGUGAAGAAGGCCUUCGGGUUGUAAAGCCCUUUUGUUGGGAAAGAAAAGCACUUGGUUAAUACCCUUGUGUUCUGACGGUACCCAAAGAAUAAGCACCGGCUAACUUCGUGCCAGCCGCCGCAGUAA
rnacentral:rRNA from 1 species